UCGGCGGAAUCCAGCCUGGUAAGACUUCAGCCCCCCAUGAUUUGAACGGGGACAGCUGAUAACCCGGGUUCAAAUCCCGGCGGCCGCACCA
rnacentral:tRNA from 1 species